rnacentral:rRNA from 1 species
GACGAACGCUGGCGGCGUGCCUAAUACAUGCAAGUCGAGCGGACGGAUGGGAGCUUGCUCCCAGACCGUCAGCGGCGGACGGGUGAGUAACACGUGGGCAACCUGCCUGUAAGACUGGGAUAACUCCGGGAAACCGGGGCUAAUACCGGAUAACUCUUUCCCUCACAUGAGGGAAAGCUGAAAGAUGGCAUCUCGCUAUCACUUACAGAUGGGCCCGCGGCGCAUUAGCUAGUUGGUGAGGUAACGGCUCACCAAGGCGACGAUGCGUAGCCGACCUGAGAGGGUGAUCGGCCACACUGGGACUGAGACACGGCCCAGACUCCUACGGGAGGCAGCAGUAGGGAAUCUUCCGCAAUGGACGAAAGUCUGACGGAGCAACGCCGCGUGAGUGAUGAAGGUUUUCGGAUCGUAAAACUCUGUUGUCAGGGAAGAACAAGUACCGGAGUAACUGCCGGUACCUUGACGGUACCUGACCAGAAAGUCACGGCUAACUACGUG